CAUCCCUCUGGUGCUGUCCUGGCCCAAGAAAUACCAGGGAUCCAAGUCUUAGUUCCUUCCUGCAGCAUGACAGAGUAGGGCAUCCUUAGGCUCUUCCUGGUUCUCUGCGGCUGCCUGUAGCACAGUUGGGGUGGAGGUGGGUGCUCCGCCUGACGCCCGUUCUGACAUCCACCGGGUGCCUUGUCCUUGCCCAUGGCCGCAAACUCCCAGUUGCAUGUUGAUGCCUCCAUAUUUUUAUCUCCCACCUGAAUCUCUCUCCUAACUCACAUUUGCAACUACCUAUUGGCAUAUCCACCUGCCCUUCCUGUGCCUCAGACUCCACCUUUCCCCGACUUCUCUGUGACCUAUCCCUAUCACCUUUCACCCAUUCGCCUAUGCCAGAAAUCUGAGAGUCAGUCUAGAUUCCUCCCUCUCCCUCAACCCCAUGGCCAAAUGGUGAUGAAACCCUGUCGUUCUUACCCCUUAAAAAUCUCUCCAAUAGGUCUUUUGCUUUCUAUUCCCCUUAUUGCUGCCGCCGCCUUGACCUGUACCCUCUGUGUUUUUGCCUGGUCUGUGGCAAGAGCCUCCCACCUGCCUCCCACCUGCCUCCCACCUCUCCUCCCACCUGCCUCCCACCUGUCCUCCCACCUGCCUCCCACCUGCCUCCCACCUGCCUCGCACCUGCCUUCCACCUGUCCUCGUCUCCUAUGCCUUGCUCUACUCCACCCCGUCCUCAACUCUGGAUCUCAGUGGCCUUUCUCAAGUGCAACUCUGGUUGGACCACUCUCCGGUAGAGCAACUUUCCUACCUCCUUGUCAGGCCUAGGUCAAGUCCUGACGCCUUAGCCCCUUAACCAGGUGGGGCAGGUCCUGCCUUCCUCCU
rnacentral:lncRNA from 1 species